rnacentral:tRNA from 3 species
CGGGGUGUAGCGCAGCUGGUAGCGCACCGCGUUUGGGACGCGGGGGUCGGCGGUUCGAAUCCGCCCACCCCGA